CGCCGCCACAAAAUGAUAUGUUUCGGCGAGGAUCUCCGCCUGCAGUUCCCAGGGGGGAUCGCCGGCCAGCACGCACGCCGCCGUCCAGGACACCGUCCGGUAACCGCGUAUCGCCCUCGUCGCGAUGACCCGCUGCGGCCGUCGCAGCUGGAUUUUGUUUGCGUGACCGAGGGCGUCCGCCCAGAUGGUGAGGAGUGAUUACCUACUGUAUCCAAG